rnacentral:rRNA from 1 species
GAACGCUAGCUACAGGCUUAACACAUGCAAGUCGAGGGGCAGCAUGGUCUUAGCUUGCUAAGGCCGAUGGCGACCGGCGCACGGGUGAGUAACACGUAUCCAACCUGCCGUCUACUCUUGGACAGCCUUCUGAAAGGAAGAUUAAUACAAGAUGGCAUCAUGAGUCCGCAUGUUCACAUGAUUAAAGGUAUUCCGGUAGACGAUGGGGAUGCGUUCCAUUAGAUAGUAGGCGGGGUAACGGCCCACCUAGUCUUCGAUGGAUAGGGGUUCUGAGAGGAAGGUCCCCCACAUUGGAACUGCGACACGGUCCAAACUCCUACGGGAGGCAGCAGUGAGGAAUAUUGGUCAAUGGGCGAGAGCCUGAACCAGCCAAGUAGCGUGAAGGAUGACUGCCCUAUGGGUUGUAAACUUCUUUUAUAAAGGAAUAAAGUCGGGUAUGGAUACCCGUUUGCAUGUACUUUAUGAAUAAGGAUCGGCUAACUCCGUGCCAGCAGCCGCGGUAAUACGGAGGAUCCGAGCGUUAUCCGGAUUUAUUGGGUUUAAAGGGAGCGUAGAUGGAUGUUUAAGUCAGUUGUGAAAGUUUGCGGCUCAACCGUAAAAUUGCAGUUGAUACUGGAUAUCUUGAGUGCAGUUGAGGCAGGCGGAAUUCGUGGUGUAGCGGUGAAAUGCUUAGAUAUCACGAAGAACUCCGAUUGCGAAGGCAGCCUGCUAAGCUGCAACUGACAUUGAGGCUCGAAAGUGUGGGUAUCAAACAGGAUUAGAUACCCUGGUAGUCCACACGGUAAACGAUGAAUACUCGCUGUUUGCGAUAUACUGCAAGCGGCCAAGCGAAAGCGUUAAGUAUUCCACCUGGGGAGUACGCCGGCAACGGUGAAACUCAAAGGAAUUGACGGGGGCCCGCACAAGCGGAGGAACAUGUGGUUUAAUUCGAUGAUACGCGAGGAACCUUACCCGGGCUUAAAUUGCAGAUGAAUUACGGUGAAAGCCGUAAGCCGCAAGGCAUCUGUGAAGGUGCUGCAUGGUUGUCGUCAGCUCGUGCCGUGAGGUGUCGGCUUAAGUGCCAUAACGAGCGCAACCCUUGUUGUCAGUUACUAACAGGUUCCGCUGAGGACUCUGACAAGACUGCCAUCGUAAGAUGUGAGGAAGGUGGGGAUGACGUCAAAUCAGCACGGCCCUUACGUCCGGGGCUACACACGUGUUACAAUGGGGGGUACAGAGGGCCGCUACCACGCGAGUGGAUGCCAAUCCCCAAAACCUCUCUCAGUUCGGACUGGAGUCUGCAACCCGACUCCACGAAGCUGGAUUCGCUAGUAAUCGCGCAUCAGCCACGGCGCGGUGAAUACGUUCCCGGGCCUUGUACACACCGCCCGUCAAGCCAUGGGAGUCAGUAACGCCCGAAGUCAGUGACCCAACCGUAAGGAGGGAGCUGCCGAAGGUGGGACCGAUAACUGGGGUGA